rnacentral:rRNA from 1 species
CACGUAGGCACCAAGCGUUGUCCGGAUUUAUUGGGCGUAAAGAGCUCGUCGGCGGUUCGGUAAGUCGGGUGUGAAAACUCUGGGCUCAACCCAGAGCCGCCACCCGAUACUGCUGUGACUCGAGUGCGGUAGGGGAGCGGGGAAUUCCUGGUGUAGCGGUGAAAUGCGCAGAUAUCAGGAGGAACACCAGUGGCGAAGGCGCCGCUCUGGGCCGUGACUGACGCUGAGGAGCGAAAGCGUGGGUAGCAAACAGG